rnacentral:sRNA from 1 species
CAGUAUCCCAGGAGGAGCAAGUGGCACGUCUUCGGGUGAGUGUGCGGCUGUGCUGGAGCCCGGGUUACCAGCUCUUGCCCGCGCGGAAUAGGCUUUAAGAAAUCGGAGCUGCAGCCAUCUGUUUUUCUCUUAAUGCUGCAUCUGUGUUCUCACGGUGGUCCUUGGGGUGAGGUUAGAGAAGGAGCCGAGGGAUCCUGACACCACCUCCACAGCACCGGCGGGCGAGGUGCCCUACUUUAGGCGUAGCCUUCUGCUUUUGGAGCCAGAUUUCUGUGGACUUCUGUUCGCGUUCAGAAAUGCCGCCUCAAACUUCUCUCAAUUGUUCAUUAAGUGAACUUCUCUCAUUCCCUUCCCCUUUGCCGAUAAUUGGAGGGGAAAAGAAGUAGGAAGCGGGACACGGUGUCCUGGGGCAAGGGACUUAUUACCUAAAAUUCGCGGCCCCUUCUGUCCCUAAAGGUUCUUCUCCCUGCCCACUUUUUGGUCUCUUUUUAGACCUAGGCUGCCCCUGCCGUCAUGUCGCAAGGGAUCCUUUCUCCGCCAGCGGGCUUGCUGUCCGAUGACGAUGUCGUAGUUUCUCCCAUGUUUGAGUCCACAGCUGCAGAUUUGGGGUCUGUGGUACGCAAGAACCUGCUAUCAGACUGCUCUGUCGUCUCUACCUCCCUAGAGGACAAGCAGCAGGUUCCAUCUGAGGACAGUAUGGAGAAGGUGAAAGUAUACUUGAGGGUUAGGCCCUUGUUACCUUCAGAGUUGGAACGACAGGAAGAUCAGGGUUGUGUCCGUAUUGAGAAUGUGGAGACCCUUGUUCUACAAGCACCCAAGGACUCUUUUGCCCUGAAGAGCAAUGAACGGGGAAUUGGCCAAGCC